rnacentral:rRNA from 1 species
AUACGUAGGGGGCAAGCGUUGUCCGGAUUUACUGGGUGUAAAGGGUGCGCAGGUGGGUCGGUAAGUCAGAGGUGAAAUCCUGCAGCUUAACUGCAGAACUGCCUUUGAUACUGCUGAUCUUGAGUUCAGAAGAGAUAAGCGGAAUUCCAGGUGUAGUAGUGAAAUACGUAGAUAUCUGGAAGAACACCGGUGGCGAAGGCGGCUUAUUGGUCUGAUACUGACACUCAGGCACGAAAGCGUGGGUAGCGAACAGGAUUAGAUACCCUGGUAGUCCACGCUGUAAACGAUGAAUACUAGGUGUCGGGCAGCAAUGCUCGGCGCCGCAGCUAACGCAUUAAGUAUUCCACCUGGGGAGUACGAUCGCAAGGUUGAA